rnacentral:rRNA from 1 species
GAGACACGCUGGCGGCGCGCCUAACACAUGCAAGUCGAACGGGAACACCCGUAGCAAUAUGGGUGUUUUAGUGGCGGACGGGUGAGUAACGCGUGAGGAACCUGCCUUUCGGAGGGGAAUAACACAUCGAAAGAUGUGCUAAUACCGCAUAAUGUCAUCGGGCGGCAUCGCCUGAUGACCAAAAGAGCAAUCUGCCGAAAGAUGGCCUCGCGUCCGAUUAGAUAGUUGGUGAGGUAACGGCCCACCAAGUCUGCGAUCGGUAGCCGGACUGAGAGGUUGAACGGCCACAUUGGGACUGAGACACGGCCCAGACUCCUACGGGAGGCAGCAGUGGGGGAUAUUAGUCAAUGGAGGAAACUCUGAACUAGCGACGCCGCGUGAGGGAAGAAGGUCUUCGGAUUGUAAACCUCUGUCUUCGGGGACGAUAAUGACGGUACCCGAGGAGGAAGCUCCGGCUAACUACGUG